AAUCAAGAGUAAAAAACUGCAGCUAAAUUCUAAAUAUUGCAUUGUGUCACAACAGACCAACUUAUAGUCCCAGGUGAAAAUAGUCUCCAGAACAUACACCACUUGUGGCAGAAACUUCAGUUCUUGGCCCUAACAGAGUUGUUUUCCUUGAUCCGAGCUCGGGUAUCCAGCUUGACAAAACGUUUGAGGUCAUCGUAAGGGAGAGACUCGAGAUUUUUCCUUCUCAGUUCACUAAGUGCCGGGCGUUUAUCCAGGAGGUGCCAAAGCCAAUCAGGGUAUUCUGAGUCGGGCAACACUUUUGGAUCGGCUCCAUCUUUGAGAAUAUUCGCCCCGACUACUGUACUGGCCUUGACUUCCUUGCUAAUUGUUGAUGCCUUUGGACCAUCUCCAGCUGCACCACCUUUUCCUCCCUUCUUUUUACCACCAACAGCAAAUGUUCUGCAGCCUCCUAUUUGAAUAGCCUCGUGAAAGUUAACGUUUCUCAAUGAUCUGAUGUAAGUUAAUGCCAUAAUCCUUGCCCCACCGGAAUUUUGUUUCGCCGCCGGAAGAAAUGAGAAAGAGAAAAUUUUUGGCACUUCAGACGAAGGAGAGUAGAAAAUUAUUUGGAAUUGG
rnacentral:misc_RNA from 1 species